rnacentral:lncRNA from 1 species
AGAAAAUAUUAUAUGUAUAAACUUGGUAUUUUUAUAUCUUAGAGUUGAUUGAGUAUUUAGUGGCAGCUAGAAGCCCAGCGCUUUCUUGAGGCAAACUCUCUCUACCCCAACAACGUGAAAAAGGUAAGUCUCCAAUCUCUCUUAUAGGUGUGGAUGGGAGAAGGUAGAUAGAACCUUUAAUCUAUUAUCUUUAAGCCUUUAAGCCUUAUUUAGAACGUUUAGUUCGAGAUUGACUAGGAAAGGAGUCACGUAUUUUGAAAGUUCUAUGAAUCAUCAAAUUGACUUACUUAUUAUUUUAGAAUAUAAAUAUGCAUUUAGAAUGAUUUAAAUCAUAAUAUAUAGUAAGUAGUAUAGAAAUUCUUAGAAAAAUAGAAAAUUAGAAUGUUAGUGGUAGAAAUGGAG